GUUUUAAUUAACUUGGUAACGCAGCUAACGCGUGAAGUAGACCGCCUGGGGAGUACGGUCGCAAGAUUAAAACUCAAAGGAAUUGACGGGGACCCGCACAAGCGGUGGAUGAUGUGGAUUAAUUCGAUGCAACGCGAAAAACCUUACCUACCCUUGACAUGUCAGGAAGUCUGGAGAGAUCUGGAUGUGCCCGAAAGGGAGCCUGAACACAGGUGCUGCAUGGCUGUCGUCAGCUCGUGUCGUGAGAUGUUGGGUUAAGUCCCGCAACGAGCGCAACCCUUGUCAUUAGUUGCUACGAAAGGGCACUCUAAUGAGACUGCCGGUGACAAACCGGAGGAAGGUGGGGAUGACGUCAAGUCCUCAUGGCCCUUAUGGGUAGGGCUUCACACGUCAUACAAUGGUGCAUACAGAGGGCCGCCAACCCGCGAGGGGGAGCUAAUCCCAGAAAGUGCAUCGUAGUCCGGAUCGCAGUCUGCAACUCGACUGCGUGAAGUUGGAAUCGCUAGUAAUCGCGGAUCAGCAUGUCGCGGUGAAUACGUUCCCGGGUCUUGUACACACCGCCCGUCACACCAUGGGAGCGGGUUUUACCAGAAGUAGGUAGCUUAACCGCAAGGGGGGCGCUUACCACGGUAGGAUUCGU
rnacentral:rRNA from 1 species